rnacentral:pre_miRNA from 1 species
CAAAUACACCCUCCGUCCGGAAAUACUUGUCAUCAAAAUGGAUAAAAGGAAAUGUAUCUAGACAUAUUUUAGUUUUAGAUACAUCUCUUUUUAUCCAUUUUGAUGACAAGUAUUUUCGGACGAAGGGAGUAGAAA